rnacentral:rRNA from 1 species
CGUGUAGGCGGUCAGGUAAGUGGAAUGUGAAAUGCCCCGGCUCACCCGGGGACCGGCAUCCCAAACUGCCUGGCUUGAGUAUGGGAGAGGAUGGAGGAAUUCCUGGUGUAGCGGUGAAAUGCGUAGAUAUCAGGAGGAACACCGGUGGCGAAGGCGUCCAUCCGGCCCAAUACUGACGCUGAGGCGCGAAAGCUAGGGGGAGCAAACGG